rnacentral:rRNA from 1 species
UACGAAGGGGGGCUAGCGUUGUUCGGAAUUACUGGGCGUAAAGCGCACGUAGGCGGAUAUUUAAGUCAGGGGUGAAAUCCCCGGGGGCUCAACCCCGGAACUGCCUUUGAUACUGGGUAUCUCGAGUCCGAGAGAGGUGAGUGGAAUUCCCGAGUGUAGAGGUGAAAUUCGUAGAUAUUCGGAGGAACACCAGUGGCGAAGGCGGCUCACUGGCUCGGUACUGACGCUGAGGUGCGAAAGCGUGGGGAGCAAACAGG